rnacentral:lncRNA from 1 species
GAAACUACGUAGCUGAGACUACGAAAAGUUCUCAUGCGCUUUACGCCAAUCUUUGCAAAAAAUGCCUUCUGUCAAGGGAUGAUAUAGCUAGGUUAUGAAUAAAAAAACCGGAGUCGACCAUCUCCCAGACACGAAUGCUGAAGCGCCGUAUCAGAACGAGCUCAGAUAGAAAAGUUGGGUGAAAAAANGUACAUGGCCUCAAGCAAGAUCCAUGAAAGUGUAGCUUGGUCUGGUCAACUACUGAACAGAGUAAUUCAUAUUAACACACGAUCCUUGAGCAAGUUCUAAAANUUGUUUNCCAAAAACCAUUUCAUUGUUGGCACCGCUUUUGGUUUGAAUUUAUCUUUCACGCUUUACUUGCUCGAGUUAUCANUGUCUUGUUUAAUAUUAAGGGGUUGUUUGGUUGUUCCUAAAUCGAAUAUGGAACAAUAAGAAAUAAUUGACCUGCAAUGAGCAUUUCUAAAAUAUAUCAUUUACAAUUUGGUUCUGCGUCUAUUGCAAGUCAAAAUAACACUAGCUUAGGUCUAGGAUUAGAGGAGCUUUGAGCAUGCAAAGCACUAACAGAUGUAUAGGAGAAGCUACCACGUUUAAAUGUAGGUGGGUUUAGUGUUUUUGACUGGCAUUUGCCAGGGUCAAUUGGCCAAAUCUAGGGUUAGUUUUUCCAAUUGGCAACGCUGGACAUCACUGGAGACGAGCUGGAGAUGACCUGGAUCAACAAAUCUAAUAAAAUGCGUCUUGCUUGAUUUAAAAUGGA